rnacentral:lncRNA from 10 species
AAGCAGAAGAUUGUUUGGUUACAUUUUGUGGAGCAGACACUGAGAUGGAAUUUGGGGUACAACAUGAGAAAGAAGCGGGGAUCAGGAAGAACUGAGCAGAAGACCAAUUAAUAUGAUACCGUAUGAUCAGGCCGUUCAAAACUUUGGCCAACCUAGCAGGGAAUUCUGGAAUGAGUAAUACCCGUCAUAGAUGUCUCAUGUUGGGCCAAACUGGUCAGACUUUAUAUUCCUGUCAUACUUGGCCACCAGAUGUGGGCUGUACCAGGAAGCGCAUGACUUUAUGCAUGGCAACUCUGCAUAUGAUAUCAACCCUGGAGGAGCUAAUAGUCUGAGGCUGUCCACUCCCAGUAGCAAGAUCUUCCCUGCAGGAGGAUCUGAGCAGCACUUCUCCAUGUCUUCCAGUCUCCAAAAUACAGUUCCCGAAAACAGGAUUAUUUUUAUAUAUCUUUUUGUCCUUAGUAUAUGUGCCUCUAGGUACAUGCAAUCAAGCUGUUGAACAGAUGAUCCUCAGCUCAAUGGUUCAACAUACCAAUUUUCAGCUUUACUAUGGUACAAAAGCUAUACACAUUCAGUAGAAACUACACCCCAAAUUUUGAAUUUUGAUCUUUUCCCAACCAGCAAUACACAGUACAAUAUUCUCUGGAGAUGUUAGGCAGUGGCCAUGAGCCAUAACUUCCAGUCAGCCAUGCCAUCAUGAGGGUAAACAAAUACUGUACUCUGCAGUGUACUGUAUUCAAUAAAUUACAUGAGAUAUUAAAUACUUUAUUGUAAAGUAGACUUUGUUAGAUAAUUUUGCACAACUAUAUAUA